GUGCACGCUUCGGGGGCACAUACACAAAAUUGGAACAAUACAGAGAAGAUUAGCAGGGCCCCUGCCUAAGGAGGAUAUGCAAUUUCGGGAAGCGUGCCAUAUUUAA
ensembl:snRNA U6 U6 spliceosomal RNA